rnacentral:lncRNA from 1 species
UGAAAAAAAAAAUUAUAGAGAAACAAAAUACAUCGUAGGCCUACUAUACUCUUAUGAAUAUAUAUAUAGAACACUUCGUAUUUAUAAGUUGUUUUUAAUGAUAGAGCUUCCAAAUUAAUGAUUCAUACCUUUAAAUGUGUUGGAUAAAAUAGUUAAAUAUCCAAAAAUAUAAGUCGCAAAAAUUACAUAGAUUUUUACAUACCUCUUUUGUUGCGGAAUGUAUUACGAUUAGCAGGAUCGAAUCUCGUCUUGUUUUACGAACUCGAUGAUCCGCCAAUGACUUCAAUCUGUUGCACGUUGUUCUUACUCGUUGCAAUCCGGCUACUAGAGUCGAUCGUCGCACACCGCCCAACUCCCUAGGGUUUAUGAUGGUACUCU